CAAAGAAGAACAGAGCAAUGUUAACGCUACUCGGCCUGAAGUACUAGAAGAAAGCUAUCUACUUGAAGGUAGAAGAGGGAGUAAGAUGACAAGAAAGUAGAACGCUGCCAGACAGCCACAGGAUCUCUAGAGUUCCUGAAACAUGUCAAUGACCCGAUGUAUGGCCUCUAUAGCAGUUCUGGGCCACCCACUCAUUUAUGAGUGACCUAUUCUGCCAUAUCCCAGGGAAAGGAGAGACCAGAACCACCACUCCUUAAAUC